UACAGAGGGUGCGAGCGUUAAUCGGAAUUACUGGGCGUAAAGCGCGCGUAGGCGGCUUUGCAAGUCGAGUGUGAAAUCCCCAGGCUUAACCUGGGAACUGCAUUCGAGACUGCAUAGCUAGAGUAUGGGAGAGGGAAGUGGAAUUUCAGGUGUAGCGGUGAAAUGCGUAGAUAUCAGGAGGAACACCGGUGGCGAAGGCGGAUCUCUGGGCCAUUACUGACGCUGAGGAGCGAAAGCGUGGGGAGCGAACAGG
rnacentral:rRNA from 1 species